GACACAUCCGUUGUUUGGGUCAUCGUGUGCUCUGAGCUCAAGCGGUGAUCUCCUCCAGCGACUGCAAUCUUUCUUCUCCUUCCUUCACCAUCGAUAUAGCUGAUUUAACGCGCUCCUCUUCUCUCUUCGUGUCUGUUUGCUGUAGCUAUAUCGUGCAUAUAUCCUAAAUAUAUUUUAGCUGCAUCUCAUAUGCAAUAAUGGCCCUCUUAUGAAUCGGUUAAAAGAGGACAUCGGAAGGACGCUUUUUUGACAUUUCUGCAAAUGUUUUCGGUGGAUUUGAUUCAAACGGAGCGUGUCUGACCCGCACGAGUGGAGUUACAAGCUUCGAGGAGCAAAUAGACCCAGCGACAUUUGUGGACAUGAAGCCGACAUGCCUUUGUUUCCCCCUGGAGCGCAUCCUGUUGUUUUGAGGAUAGACAUCUGCAAUGAAGGAGUUGUGCAAAGAAGCAUGAACACCAUGCCUUCGUUUUGGUGGUAAAUGAUAGUUCCAUGCUUUUUCAAUAUUAUGUAACUGAAUAAUGGACGAUUUCUAUCAAACAUGAUCCAACGAAAAUGGUUCCUUGGUUACAGUUUGAUGGUUUUCUAAGUCUGGGGUGUGUAAUGCGUCCUCCAGCAUCAGUGAUGUUUCUCCAAGAUCCAGCUGUCUCAUCAGUGGAGGACAUUUGAAUUACUGUAGCACUUUUGUUGCUUAUUAAAGUUACUGCUGGUUGGUUAAAUGACAACAUGCAUCUUGGAGUAGAGGAGCCCAUUAGGGAGUGCCAGUACAAUCAGAUCUGUACUCGUAACUCCUCACCCAUUGAGACCCCUCACACGACGAAGUGGAAGAUCAAAAGGAAAUGGCAGGUUUUUCCUGGCCGAAAUAAAUUCUACUGCAACGGCAGGAUUAUGAUGGCAAAGCAGACUGGGGUCUUCUACCUUACCAUGGUUCUCAUUCUGGUGACCAGUGGCCUCUUCUUUGCCUUUGACUGCCCAUUCCUGGCAUCAAACCUGACUCCUGCCAUCCCAGCCAUUGGAGGAGUGCUGUUCUUCUUUGUAAUGGGAAUGCUGCUCAGAGCGAGCUUCAGCGACCCGGGUGUCCUACCCAGGGCCACACCAGAGGAAGCGGCAGACAUAGAGAGGCAGAUAGAUGCAGCUAAUGGUCCAAGUGGUCCUGGCUAUAGACCGCCACCCAGAACCAGAGAGGUGGUCAUUAACGGUCAGACGGUCAAGCUGAAAUACUGCUUCACAUGCAAGAUUUUUAGACCACCACGGGCAUCACACUGCAGCCUGUGUGACAAUUGCGUGGAGAGAUUCGAUCAUCACUGCCCGUGGGUGGGGAACUGCGUAGGGAGGAGGAACUAUCGCUUCUUCUACCUGUUCAUCCUCUCACUCUCCUUCCUCACUCUCUUUAUCUUCGCCUUUGUCAUCACACACGUAAUACUGAGAUCCAACAGGACUGGAUUUCUUAGUGCUCUCAAAGACAGCCCUGCCAGUGUUCUGGAAGUGGUAGUGUGCUUUUUUUCGGUCUGGUCCAUCGUUGGUCUGUCAGGGUUCCAUACCUACCUGAUCAGCUCCAAUCAGACCACCAACGAAGAUAUCAAAGGUUCAUGGUCAUCCAAACGAGGCAAAGGCAACUACAACCCCUACAGUUAUGGCAACUUCAUCACCAACUGCUGCGCUGCACUCUGCGGGCCUCUACCACCGAGUUUGAUUGACAGGAGAGGAUUUGUCCAACCAGACACCCCACAGCCUGCAGCCCAGACAAAUGGCACCAGUGCUUGCCCCUCCAAUCAAGUCCAGAGUCACAUGACCAUUUACAUGAUAUAGAUGCAAGACAAAACGCAACCCACACAACCUACGUCCUCUUUGCACUUCAGAACCUGCUCCGCUCUCUUUCUCAGUGGAACUCUGGAACUGCGAGUCAGCUGUGAACAAAGCUGACUUCAUUCCAGCCUUUGCCACACAGUCCACCCUCAGCAUCCUGGCACUGACAGAAAUGGGGAUAUGUCCAGAGGAUACAGCAACACCUGCUGCUCUCUCCAACAACUUGUCCUUCUCUCACACCCCUCGACACACCGGUAGGGGUGGGGGAACAGGUUUGCUCAUUCAUAACAACUGGACUUUUUCACCACACUCUUCUCUAUGUAACAAUACUCAUUUUAAAUUCCAUGCUAUUACUACAAUGCAACCCACAAAAAUACAUGUUGUUGUCAUUUAUUGCCCUCCAGGUCAGCUGGCAAACUUUCGAGGAGUUGGAUGUCCUGCUGUCCUCCUUCCCGGAGGAUGGUAAGCCACUUGUGGUUCUUGGUGAUUUCAACAUAAACCAAGACAAGCCCCAGGCCAUUGAACUGAAUGCUCUUCUGGCCUCAUUUGACUUGGAAAGACUAAGCACCACAGCAACUCUGAGAUCAGCAGUUACAGAAAUGCUCAAACCAGCCCAUCUGGCACCAACAAUCAUGCCACGGUCGAACCUCAUAUUUACACGUAACUGUACCAACUCAAAUAUUCUCGUUACUCCUUUACAUGUCUCUGAUCACUACUUUGGUCAAUUCAACAUGCCUCUCCCAUCUACAUUAAAACAGACUCUACCUUUGGUUUCCUUUUGCCGUAUCCUCCAUUCUCUUUCACCCUCUCGCCUUUCACCUGCCUCUCUUCCCACACAAAAUGUAUUUUCCACCCUUGAUGUAAACACUGCCACAGACACACUAAGCUCUACUUUAACAACCUGUCUAGACAACAUCUGUCCUCUCUCCUCAAGGUCAGCACGUACUACACCACCCAGCCCCUGGCUCUCUGACGUCCUUCGUGAACAUCGGACUGAUCUCAGGGCAGCUGAGAGGAGAUGGCGAAAAUCUAAAGAUCCAGCAGAUCCAGGUAAGUAUCAGUCUCUUCUUGCAACUUUUUCAGAUAACGUUAAAUCAGCAAAAACUUCCUACUACCAGAACAAGAUCAACAGCACCACAGACACUCGCAGAUUGUUUAGAACAUUCAACAUACUUCUCUGCCCUCCUCCUCCACCACCUGACACAUCACUGACAGCAGAUGUCUUGGCCACAUUUUUUACUAAUAAGGUUACAACCAUCAGCAAUACAUUCUCAGCACCACACCUUGUCAAACACCCAUCUCCUGUAUGCAACUCUUCUGUCUCUAUGUCCUCUCCUCUGACUGACACUGAGGUCUCUAAACUCCUCCUCUCCAACCACCCCACCACCUGUUCCCUUGACCCCAUUCCUUCUCACCUUUUACAGGCCAUCUCUCCGUCCAUCUUACCUGCACUCACUCACAUAAUUAACACAUCUACUUACAGGCACUUUUUCCACUACAUUUAAGCAGGCUCGAGGAACCCCGCUGCUGAAGAAACCUGCACUUAACCCCACACAAAUAGAACACUACAGACCAGUCUCUCUCAUCCCAUUCAUGGCAAAAAACACUUGAAAGGGCAGUUUUCAAUCAAAUCUCUGCCUAUCUCUCACAGAACAAUGCUGCUGGAUGACAAUCAGUCAGGCUUCAUAAGUGGACACUCCACCAAGACUGCCCUGCUGUCUGUCACUGAGUCGCAGAGACAGGCAAAAGCUGAAUCCAGAUCAUCCGUCCUGAUUCUACUGGACCUUUCUGCAGUCUUCAACACAGUCAACCAUCAGAUCUUACUCUCCACCCUCUCUUCGCUGGGCAUCACAGGAACUGUGCUUGACUGGUUUAAUUCCCAUCUCUCAGCACAACGACACCACAGUGACUGCUCGAAUCUCUGCCUGCCCGGCAGACAUCUCGGCCUGGAUGAAGGAACACCACCUGCAGCUUAACCCAGCGAAGACUGAACUCCUUGUCUUUCCAGCCAACCCUGCUGUUGAACACAACAUCACCGUGCAGCUGGGUGCAACUACAGUAACGCCUUCCAAAAUGGUCAGAAAUCUAGGGGCAACCAUUGAUAACAAAAUAAAUUUCACAGACCACAUCUCAAAGACCGCAAGAUCAUGUAGAUUUACACUACAAUAUCAGGAAGAUAAGACCCUUCCUCUCUGAACAUGCCACACAACUUCUUGUUCAGUCACUUGUCAUAACUAGACUCGACUACUGUAACGCUCGCAUUGCAGGCCUCCCUGCAUGUGCAAUUAGACCCCUGCAAAUGAUCCAGAAUGCAGCAGCAUGUCUGGUCUUUAAUCAACCAAAGAGAGUGCAUGUUACACCACCCCUUGUCUCUCUGCACUGGCUGCGGGUUGAUGCACGUAUCCAAUUCAAGGCUCUGAUGCUGGCAUACAAAACAGUCACUGGGUCUGCUCCAGCAUACACAAAAUCAUUUCUGCAGAGCUACGCACCAACUAGAAGCCUGCGGUCGGCUAAGGAAUGUCGCCUUGUUGUGCCAAAACAAAGAGGCACCAAAACACUUUCCUGGGCUUUCGGCUUCAUCAUACCACGUUGGUGGAAUGACCUUCCCAACUCCAUCCGUGAAGCUGACUCACUUUCUGUCUUCAAAAAACGGCUAAAAACACAUCUUUUCCAUGAGCUUAACCAGUCACAAAAAAAAAAAAAAAGAAAUUUCCUUGUUGCACUUUAAUCUGUUUUGAAUGCUAUUCUGAUGCUAGUGAAACUUUGUAAUGCAGCACUUUUCAUACCACUGUCUCCUUAAGAUGAUUCGCUUAUGUUUUCCUCUCUUGUAAGAAAGCGUCUGCCAAAUGAAUAAAUGUAAAACAAGCAGAAAUUAUAGCGCCACAGACACAGUGUUUUCAGUUUUCAAGAAAAUUAACCUAUGAAUGGCUUACUUAAAGUUGUCUGUGCAUCUUAAGCUGGGAAAGGAGAAAGUAUUUUAACACUGAUAAAGUUAUAAACUUCAGGUUUAAGCUCAAUCAACAUUUGUAGCAUAAUAAGAUUCCAACAAAAAUUAUUUCGCCCCAUGUUACAGUAAGGCACUUACAAUGGAAGGGAUUGGGGCCAGUCCAUAAAUGCUAAAAUCCACAUUAUUUCAAAUGUAUAGCCACAAGACGUAAACAUUAUACAUAUUAACAUGAUUUUAGUGUGAUAAAAUUGAUUACUAAGCUUUUCUGUGUAAAGCUAUAUCCAAUACCGGGAUGACAGCGUUUCAACUAAGUUGUAAUAUUGGAUAUAACUUCACACAGAUAAGGUUAUUAAGCGAUUUUUAUCACAAUAAAAUCAUAUUGACACAUAUAAAGUUUACAUCUUCUAGUGAUCCCUUUGAAACUGUGUGUAUUUUAACAUUUACGGACUGGCCCCAUUCACUUCCAUUGUCAGUGCCUUACUGUAACAACAAUUUGGGCUUUUUCUUUAAAAAAAGCUUUUUUUUUUUUUUGGUGGAAAUCAACAUUAA